UAAUGAUAUGUGACACUGUACAUGUGCCUCUUUUUAUAGAAAGCUGUUUAUAUUUUUGUACGUAUAUAAACCCUUCCAACACUAACUUUUAUAAAAAGGCAAUCAAAGUCCUCUGUAUACUUUCAGUUCAAUUCUCAAACUUGUUUUUUCCAUGGAUAGAGGCACUGAAAAUCUUUCAAACCAUGAACUCAGCAAGUUGAAAAAACAAGAUGAAGUAGCGGUAGUUAUGGUUCCAUUUCCAGCUCAAAGCCAUCUCAAUCAACUUCUCCAACUUGCCUGUAUAAUUGUCUCAACCUAUAAACUUUCAGUAUACUAUAUUGGUUCAGCCACUCAUAAUCUUCAAGCUCGUGUUCGAGCCAACGCCUUAAAUCCUUCAGACAUAGCCAAAAUCCAUUUCCAUGAUCUCCUAACUCCUGAUUUUGCUUCCCCUAAACCUGAUCCUUAGCCAAAAUCCAUUUCCAUAUCAACUUCUCCAACUUGCCUGUAUAAUUGUCUCAACCUAUAAACUUUCAGUAUACUAUAUUGGUUCAGCCACUCAUAAUCUUCAAGCUCGUGUUCGAGCCAACGCCUUAAAUCCUUCAGACAUAGCCAAAAUCCAUUUCCAUGAUCUCCUAACUCCUGAUUUU
rnacentral:lncRNA from 1 species